rnacentral:lncRNA from 1 species
UUUUUUUCUUUUUUUUUUUUUAGAGAUGGAGUCUCCCUAUGAUGUCCAGGCUGGUCUCAAACUUCUGGCCUCAGGCGAUUCUCCUGCCUUGGCCUCCCAAAGGACUGGGAUUACAGGUGUGAUCCACUGAGCCCAGAUGGAUAUAGAUUACUUCUUAGAAGCUUGGCUAAAAUGGGAAAUAGAAGCAAAAAGCAUAGUCUGGGGAUGAGGACGAAGGGCCCCAGACUUUUAGGGGCCGAAACCAGAAGUCCCAAAGUCUGCGAGAGAGCAGAGUAGCCUCAGCCCUCCCAGCUAAUAAUGACAUGACGGAAAAGUUGUGGUCCUCAAUUUUUCAACUAUAACUGAAGGGGCAGCCUCUAUUUUCCGUGUUUAGAUCCUCAAAGCUAUGUAUCCAGAGCAUAGCGUGACCAAGAAAAUUCCUGCACAUAACCCCAAAUAUUAGAAAAUUAGAAGCAUUUGCAAGCCCAGCCCUCAAAGAUGGGAUGAUUUGACUUCCUUUACUCUGGUCCUUGUGUGAGUUAGUGAGUCAGGGAAGCGCUCUGUUGAGAAUGACAUCCCGCAGCUUGCCCCUGUAUGGGUAGAACACCCUCUCUUUCUCCUUCUGAACAUCUUUCUCUUCUUUUUCUUGGCAAGGGCACGGCAUUUGUUUGGAGAAAAAUAGGCUAAUCUGGAGAAAUCGUGAUACUUUGAUCUUGCCUUUUCUGGGGUUAGUUUUCAUUCUGCCUUUUAAAAAAUGAAGCCAUUCUCCCAGUGUUUAGUUUCAUCCUCCUUUCUCUGUCUUCCUCACCAGGUUUGUUUCUCUCUCCUCUUCUCUAGGUGCUCUUCCCUGGGCUGUGAUGGUUUGUGCUGUACUUUCAUGUUCUUCUACCUCUUUGUUCUCCACUCGCUUCACUCCAGCCCCUUCUACUCACCCACCCUGCUUUCCUCUGUUCUCUCCCAUUUUGAUCAGGAGAAGCUGCUCCCUGGGAAUCUGAGACCCUUUUCUAAGCAAGAGCUCAAGACACCACAGUGAGGCCCCCAGAGUCCUCAUCUCCCUCUGGAGGGGAAGGCAGGGGACAAAGAAGAGAAGCAGCCCCAGUCCAGCCCGGCUUGUACCCGACACAGAAAGGGCGGCAACCUUCAUCAGCCCGGAGGCUGCCGAAUCCUAGAAACACAUCUGAGUCUGCCUUUGUGAAAGAAAAUGAUCCUCAUGCAGGCAGGUGGUACUAUUUUGGAGAACAUUUUUAUGUGCAAUUUAGAGUGCACAUUCUACACACAGCUCAGACAGAAAUAAUCAGUUUAAUGUGUGUCUGCACUGUCAUGCGGUCAAGCUUUAGGUGAGAGCAGAUUUACACACUGAAAUCAAAAGGAAAUAGCAGGAGCCGUCUUCUGCUACAUUCCAUGACAAUAAAUGGUCACGCGAUGGAGGGCUGCCAACUCUCC